rnacentral:rRNA from 1 species
CUAAUACCGCAUAUUCUGUGAGCAGGAAAGCAGGGGAUCGCAAGACCUUGCGCUGAUUGAGCGGCCGAUAUCAGAUUAGCUAGUUGGUGAGGUAAAAGGCUCACCCAAGGCGACGAUCUGUAGCGGGUCUGAGAGGAUGAUCCGCCACACUGGAACUGAGACACGGUCCAGACUCCUACGGGAGGCAGCAGUGGGGAAUUUUGGACAAUGGGCGCAAGCCUGAUCCAGCCAUGCCGCGUGAGUGAAGAAGGCCUUCGGGUUGUAAAGCUCUUUCAGCCGGGAAGAAAACGCAUGGGUUAAUACCCUGUGUGGAUGACGGUACCGGAAUAAGAAGCACCGGCUAACUACGUGCCAGCAGCCGCGGUAAUACGUAGGGUGCGAGCGUUAAUCGGAAUUACUGGGCGUAAAGCGUGCGCAGGCGGUUUGUUAAG